rnacentral:rRNA from 1 species
GAUGAACGCUGGCGGCGUGCCUAAUACAUGCAAGUCGAGCGAACGGACGAGAAGCUUGCUUCUCUGAUGUUAGCGGCGGACGGGUGAGUAACACGUGGAUAACCUACCUAUAAGACUGGGAUAACUUCGGGAAACCGGAGCUAAUACCGGAUAAUAUUUUGAACCGCAUGGUUCAAAAGUGAAAGACGGUCUUGCUGUCACUUAUAGAUGGAUCCGCGCUGCAUUAGCUAGUUGGUAAGGUAACGGCUUACCAAGGCAACGAUGCAUAGCCGACCUGAGAGGGGGUAGGCCCAGAUUGGGCAUGAGCGACGGCCCAGACUCCGAGGGGGGGCAGCAGUGGGGAAUAUCGGACAAUGGGAGGAAGCCUGAUGCAGCUAGGCCGCGUGGGGGAUGACGGCCUUCGGGUUGUAAACUCCUAUCGCUAGGGACGAAGCGGUUUUGUGACGGUACCUGGAGAAGAAGCACCGGCUAACUACGUG